rnacentral:tRNA from 1 species
AUUAAAAUAGCUUAAAUAAAGCUGUAGAUUUUUAAUCUAAGGAUAUAAUAAUUAUUUUUAAUA